CUCUCGCCACCCUCCUGUCCAAUUAGCUCCGACUAGCAAAAGUUUGGGUUGUUCCUGAGGGCAUGUAUGGUCUAGGCUGAGUGAAGACUAUCUAGGUCAACACAGUGGUUUCUGUUUCUGUUGUCUUCUAAAAUCUCCCACAUUUGUGUUUCAAGCAUGUCCUGAUUUUCUUCUUUUACACGCUGGUCUUUACUCUUUAACCCGCGUUUAACAACCAGACAGCACAUUGUUUAUGACGGGGAAGAUAAGGGAAGAACACUGCAGGACUAUAAAAAAAAAGGGGGGGAUGACACAAUAUACAACAUAUCAUGCCAACGUGGGUUAUUAGUAGGAGGCACUGCCAUUUGGACCUGCACGUACUGGACUACAUUUGUUGUGGAAGAAGCAGAAAGGCUCAGGACGUGCACGUGUAGAUAUGUGAAGAGGUGGGUUUAUCUAUUACGUUCGGAUCAUCUCUUGUGCUUUAUAGUCAAAAGUGGAAGUUAUAUCCUCUUGUGGACUUUUGCCCUCAGACUGUCAUCAUGGCAACCCACUGCCCAGCGCGCGCCUUGCUCAUGCUUGUUGGAUUUCUUACCUUUUUGGUUGCGUUUACACUGAACACUCUGGCGGGAUACGGCGCUAACUCAGGUGACUAUCUGCCAGGUUGAUCAAAAGUCAUCAUCGGGAGGGUUUUUGUGAAGUAAGUGAUGGGAUAAACUAACCGUCUGUGCUCAACUCAACACAGGUGUCUUCAAUCAGGCGACGGAGGAUGUGACACUCAAGUACACAACACCCAUAACUCCUGCUGCGUGGGCCCUGUUUGUCUGGGAUUUCAUUUACAUCUGGGUCUUUGCCAUGUUCAUAUACCUUUUAGUGGGACUCUGCAGAAGGAGCGCUUACGACUGGCUGUACACCACCCCGGCAGUGCUACCCUAUGGAUUUCACGUCUCCAUCAUCGCCAACGUCUGUUUGAAUAUCACAUGGUUGUUUCUGUAUGACAGAGAGUUGCUGCUGCCAGGGCUGAUAACCUCAGCGCUUAUGACGAUCACCGAUUACAUGGUCCUGUUUUUCUCCUGUCAUGGACUGAAGAUCUAUGGAGCCUGGUUGCACAAAUAUCAAAACACGGACCUUUGGCUCAUCAGAAUAUUGGUGCAAAAUGGAGUAGCAGUAUAUGCAACAUGGGGGACUCUCUUCACUCUGCUGAACCUGACGACAUACAUACAGCACCUGGCGGAGGUAUCUAAAUGUGACUGUGCAAAGCUGUCACUUAUGCUGCUGCUGAUGAAGUUGUUAGGCUGGUUUCUGUUGGAGAACUUCCACCUCGACAAGCACGUGCGCUACAUCGUGACCGUCUACCCUGUGGUGAUGCUGUGGAUGUCAGGCGUACUGAGCAACUCCAGCUCUCAUGGAAGUACUGUUUACAUCUUCUCAGCUUCUAUCAUGGUUAUUACCACGUGUCUGUUUGUGGCACGCAUCGCCCUGGUCACCUGGAGGCAUUACAAACAACCGCUUUACAACGACACUGGACCCAGUAUGUCGCCUGUAGAAAUAGCACUGACACAAGGAAAACUCUGUUUAUGAACGUGAGCUCGGAGCUUAACUCAUCAUUUUUGCGUUGUUGUUUGUAUGUUUGUUUUUUUCCCCGAGUGGAAAUCUCAGUCUGUAGAUUUGUAAAUUGCCACGUGGGACAGAAAUACUCAAAAAUAUGAAAAUUUAAAUCAAAGAAUGUACAGAUGAUUUCACCAAUUAAAGAAAAAAAUUUAAACAUUGGAUGUAAUUGUAUUAUAUGUAACACUUAUGUAUGUAUGUAUGAAUGUUAUUUCACUUUCAAAGAAAUAAAUUACACUGAACAAAUGGUGGGUUGAAAAUAAUUUAAAUGUCCAGUGUGAAGGAUUUUGUGGCAAACCGUAUUGGAAAAAAAUUUUAAUAAAAAAUGCAGACCACCCCCAAGCAGGUAAGAUUACAUGUUUUGGUUUGUCCAUUUUGGGCUUCCUUAAAAACAUGGCGGUGCAACAUGGCAGACUCUGAGGAAGACAACCAGAGGUAAUGAAAACACAACAAUUGUUAGUUUCAGGUGAUUAUAUACUAAUAAAAACAUGAUUAUGAACAUUAUAUUUAAUUUGUGCCCACAUAUCCCUAUAAAUCCCAAACACUGGACCUUAAAUGCUAAUAAAAUAGAAUAAAUCGAUUUACCCAAACAUUAAAAAGUCUUUGAAAUAAACAUUUAUUACACUGGAAACGUAGCUGAAACUGUACUUUCAGUAUAACCAGUUAAUCUGUCAUGACAACAAUAAAAAAGGCCCAUCACAGUAUCUCA
rnacentral:lncRNA from 1 species